UACGAAGGGGGCUAGCGUUGCUCGGAAUCACUGGGCGUAAAGGGUGCGUAGGCGGCUUUCUAAGUCAGGGGUGAAAUCCUGGAGCUCAACUCCAGAACUGCCUUUGAUACUGAGGAUCUUGAGUUCGGGAGAGGUGAGUGGAACUGCGAGUGUAGAGGUGAAAUUCGUAGAUAUUCGCAAGAACACCAGUGGCGAAGGCGGCUCACUGGCCCGAUACUGACGCUGAGGCACGAAAGCGUGGGGAGCAAACAGG
rnacentral:rRNA from 1 species